rnacentral:rRNA from 1 species
UGGGGAAUAUUGCGCAAUGGGGGAAACCCUGACGCAGCAACGCCGCGUGAAGGAUGAAGGCUUUCGGGUUGUAAACUUCUUUGAUGAGGGACGAAAGAAAUGACGGUACCUCAAAAACAAGCCACGGCUAACUACGUGCCAGCAGCCGCGGUAAUACGUAGGUGGCGAGCGUUGUCCGGAAUUACUGGGUGUAAAGGGCGUGUAGGCGGGGAUGCAAGUCAGAUGUGAAAUGCCGGGGCUUAACUCCGGAGCUGCAUCUGAAACUGUGUGUCUUGAGUGUCGGAGAGGAAAGCGGAAUUCCCAGUGUAGCGGUGAAAUGCGUAGAUAUUGGGAGGAACACCAGUGGCGAAGGCGGCUUUCUGGACGAUAACUGACGCUGAGGCGCGAAAGCGUGGGG